UAUAAUAUUAACAUAAUUCAUACUACUAUAUAUUUUAGUAUAUGAAAUUUUACUUUGAGAAAAUUAGAGUGCUUAAAGCAGGCAUAUGCCUUGAAUACUCCAGCAUGGAAUAAUAUUAAAGAUUUUUAUCUUUCUUAUUGGUUCUAAGAUAAGAAUAAUGAUUAAUAGGGACAGUUGGGGGCAUUUGUAUUUAACAGUCAGAGGUGAAAUUCUUAGAUUUGUUAAAGACAAACUAAUGCGAAAGCAUUUGCCAAGGAUGUUUUCAUUAAUCAAGAACGAAAGUUAGGGGAUCGAAGACGAUCAGAUACCGUCGUAGUCUUAACCAUAAACUAUGCCAACUAGAGAUUGGAGGUUGUUCCUUACUC
rnacentral:rRNA from 1 species